rnacentral:rRNA from 1 species
AACGAUGAGGGGCUAAGUUGUUAGAGGGGUUUUCGCCCUUUAGUGGUGAAGUUAAAGCAUUAAGCACUUCGCCUGGGGAGUUCGGCCGCAAGGGUGAAACUCAAAAGAAUUGACGGGGGGCCGCACAAGCGGUGGAGCAUGUGGUUUAAUUUGAAGCAACGCGAAGAACCUUACCCGGUCUUGACAUCCUUUGAAAACCCUAGAGAUUAGGGUUUUCCUUUGGGAGCAGAGUGACAGGUGGUGCAUGGUUGUUGUCAGCUCGUGUCGUGAGAUGUUGGGUUAAGUCCCGCAACGAGCGCAACCCUUGAUUUUUGUUGCCCUCCUUAAGUUGGGCACUUUAAGGUGACUGCCGGUGACAAACCGGAGGAAGGUGGGGAUGACGUCAAAUCAUCAUGCCCCUUUUGACCUGGGGUACCCACGUGGUUCAAUGGGCGGUACAAAGAGGUGCAAGGCCCCGAGGGGGAGCUAAUUUCCUAAAACCCUUUUCCGUUUGGGUUGUUGGGUGCAACUUGCCUACCUGAAGCCGGAAUCGGUUGUAAUCGCGGGUCAGCCUGCCGCGGGGAAUACGUUCCCGGGCCUUGUACCCCCCCCCCGUCCCCCCCCGAGAGGUUGUAACCCCCGAAG